rnacentral:lncRNA from 10 species
AGAUGGGUGGAUCACAAGGUCAGGAGUUCGAGACCAGCCUGGCCAACAUGGUGAAACCCUGUCUCUACUAAAGAUACAAAAUAUUAGCCGGGAGUGGUGGCAGGUGGCUCACGCCUGAAAUCUCAGCACUCUGGGAGGCCGAGGCAGGAGGAUCACUUGAGCCCAGGAGUUUGAGACCAGCCUAGGCAACAUAGGGAGACCCCAUUUCUACAAGAAAAGUUAAAAAAAUUAGCUGGGCGUCUGUAAUCCCAGCACUUUGGGAGGCUGAGGCGGGAGGAUCACAAGGUCAGGAGUUCAAGACCAGCCUGGCCAGCAUGGUGAAACUCCAUAUCUACUAAAAAUACAAAAAAUAAAAUAAAAU